GGACCAGAGGAAGAAGGGCAAGGGAGAUGGGGCGAUGUGCAUGUCCAUGGAGGGGGAAAUUCUAAUUUCUUUACAGCGGUGUUUGAACAAAAUGGCAUAUUCCGUGGGCUGGAUGAUAGAAGGACAUUUUGUUGAAGCACUCAAGAGGAGUAAUACUAUUGUGAUGCCAACACAUGGUCCUACUUAUUACCCCAUGGUAUGUGUAAUGCCGAUUGCCUCCUAGGCAGCUGUAAGUGUGAGGCCUUAUUACCUCCAACGUCCAGCAACGACACAGUUUAGAGAUAAACGGCAGUCCAUGAUAUGAAUAAACUAAGGGGAGCUUCCUGUUGCUGCUACUGAAGUGGCAAGGCGGACUAGGAGCAAUGUCUUUGAGUACAUACAGAUUUUUGCACGAGUGUGAGCAUGAGUCAAUGGCGACCCCCAGUGGCGGACAUGGUUAAAGUCAACCUUGAUGGAUCCUUUGUAUCAGGUGAUAUGCAUGCCGGCUGGAAGGUGGUUGCUAGAUCCUCAGACUGCAUCAUUGUUUGUGCCCACACCGGUCGCUAGGAGAAUGUCAAGGACGUGUUCACUGCUGAAUCAUGUGCCAUGUCCCAUACUGUCUCGCUUGCUGCUGAUCUAGGGAUGUCCUGGUGGUAUUUGAGACGGAUCCAUAGCUUCUACAGGAAGCACUUGA